rnacentral:snoRNA from 1 species
CCCCUCUCAGAGUCACACCUGGAGAGUUUCCAGUAGUCUACCCGACUUGGCUACAAGAGGGAGAGUCAGGCAGAGGCCUACCCAUUCCAUUUCUAGCUUGGGCAGUGGCUAGCGAGUGGAAGGCAAUCUGCUACAAGU